AUUGAUCUUGGAAUCAUAAAUAAUCGUUGCUUCGUUCUCGAACGAAUAUUUCAAGGAAAAAAAAAAGGAACACCAAAUAAAAAUUUAUAAUUUCCGGCAUAUCUUCGAAGUCCGCUAAAUUACUAUUAUACAAAUUUAUCAAAUCCUUAUCUAUUACAAUUAGAGAAAAGUUUACGCAUCCCGUUCAACGGUCGUGCUCGCACUCCAAGAAAGUCCGGUACAUCAUCAAAGAAGACUAUGGAUAUUAUUUGUUUUUCUACACCAAAGCCACGAGCUUAAACUGAGUUUUUCCUAUACCAAAUUAAAUAAAUAAGUAAAUAAAUAUACAAAUAAUAAAAUUUAAUAAAACAAAUAAAAUAUAAAAAUAAAGAGAGAGGGCAGAUUCAAAGGAUCGAAUUUUUUCAGACACAUCAUUAAAUGUUGCAUUUAAUUACAGCAGGCAAAUCAUAUCCCUUCCUGACUAAGGAGAAUAAUUUGAGAUAAAAUGUGAGGCAACUUGUUACAGCGUCACUUCACUCCCUCUUUUGUUCAUUGUAUAUAGAUAUAUAACCAUUUUUUUUUUCAAACACCCACGUUACCAUCAAAUCCCAAACUUCUUCCACAGAGUAGCAACUUUCAUGAAUAACAGUGUGUGUUCCAAAUCAGCCAUACCGACACAUUCUACUCUCUACCUAGUAAGGCUAUCUCCGUGAGUUAAGGGUGGAGUCAGGAAAAUUCAAGUUAAGGGAACUAGACAAUCAAGGUUGAGCAGCGAAGUGGUGGAGGAAGUGCUAUUGAGACAAGACAUUUAAUUCGG